AGACUGGUUUCUAUAGGGUGAAAUAUGAUGACGACCUUGCAGCUAGGCUUAGAUAUGCCAUAGAGAAGAAAUAUUUGACUGAAACAGACAGAUUUGGCAUUUUGGAUGAUUCAUUUGCCCUUUGCAUGGCUCGUCACCAGUCUUUGGUCUUGUUGCUUACUCUGAUGGGUGCUUACAGGGAGGAACUUGAGUAUACUGUGCUGUCAAACUUGAUUAGUAUAAGUAAUAAACUUAUGAGGAUUGCAGCAGAUGCAACCCCUGAAUUAUUGGACUACAUUAACCAAUUUUUUAUUAAUCUUUUCCAAAUUUCUGCAGAGAAACUGGGUUGGGACCCUAAACAAGGUGAAAGCCAUCUUGAUUCAAUGUUGAGAGGAGAAAUUUUGACUGCCCUCGCUGUGUUUGGGCAUGAUCCAACAAUAAAUGAAGCAAGUAGGAGAUUUCAUGCAUUUGUAGAUGACAGAAAUACACCACUCCUUCCACCUGAUAUAAGAAAGGCAACAUAUGUGGCAGUAAUGCAGAGAGUUAGCACUUCAAAUAGAUCGGGUUAUGAAUCUCUCCUGAGAGUCUAUAGGGAGACCGAUCUAAGCCAAGAGAAAACUCGCAUUCUGGGUGCUGAACUAUUUUUUGAAAUUUUUGUAGAAUAUAUGAAUUUAAUGAGUUUGUGGUAAUUAUAUAUCCAUAUAUGCCUUGUGCAGGUUCAUUGGCAUCUUGUCCAGACCACAAUAUGGUUCUUGAAGUUCUUAACUUUGCGUUGUCUUCUGAGGUUCGGAGUCAAGAUGCUGUUUUUGGACUUGCUGCUGUUUCCAAGGAAGGACGAGAAACAGCUUGGACGUGGAUGAAGGAUAAGUGGGAUCACAUUUCAAAAACUUGGGGUUCUGGAUUUUUAAUAACUCGCUUCAUCAGUGCAGUUGUCUCACCG
rnacentral:misc_RNA from 1 species